rnacentral:rRNA from 1 species
UACGUAGGCAGCAAGCGUUGUUCGGAGUUACUGGGCGUAAAGGGUGCGUAGGCGGCUUUUUAAGUUUGGUGUGAAAUCUCCCGGCUCAACUGGGAGGGUGCGCCGAAUACUGAGAAGCUAGAGUGUGGGAGAGGAAAGUGGAAUUCCUGGUGUAGCGGUGAAAUGCGUAGAUAUCAGGAGGAACACCGGUGGUGUAGACGGCUUUCUGGACCGACACUGACGCUGAGACACGAAAGCGUGGGUAGCAAACAGG